rnacentral:misc_RNA from 1 species
UCCGGUUUGACACCGGCAGUCUUCCAUGAGUCCCCAUCUUUACAUGCUGGUAACUAACCACAGGGGUUGCGCUCGUUAUAGGACUUAACCUGACACCUCACGGCACGAGCUGACGACAACCAUGCAGCACCUUGCAAUCAGUCCGAAGAAAUACUUGUUUCCAAAUACGUCCGAUUGCAUUUAAGCCUUGGUAAGGUUCCUCGCGUAUCAUCGAAUUAAACCACAUGCUCCACCGCUUGUGCGGGCCCCCGUCAAUUCCUUUGAGUUUCAUUCUUGCGAACGUACUCCCCAGGUGGGAUACUUAUCACUUUCGCUUAACCACUGAGACCGAAAUCCCAACAGCUAGUAUCCAUCGUUUACGGCGUGGACUAC